CCCUUAGAUGUCCUGGGCCGCACGCGUGCUACACUGAGUAAAUCAAUGGGUAAGGGAACACGAAAGUGCAACCUAAUCUUCAAAUUUGCUCGUGAUGGGGAUCGACGGUUGCAAUUUUCCGUCGUGAACGAGGAAUACCUUGUAGGCGCGUGUCAUCAUCACGCGCCGAAUACGUCCCUGCCCUUUGUACACACCGCCCGUCGCUCCUACCGAUUGAGUGAUCCGGUGAGGCUCUGGGACCUGGACGGAAAGAGCGUUUCGCUUGUUCUGUUUGGGAAACUUGGUCGAACCUUAUCAUUUAGAGGAAGGAGAAGUCGUAACA
rnacentral:rRNA from 1 species